CUUUCCGCUGGCGCUGCCCGCCUUCGACCCGGUGUUGCCGCUGCGGCGGUGAUGGAGCGUAGACCCCUGAGGUCCGCUCUGCGCUGCUGGCGGAGACGAGGCCGCGGGGACCGCAGCGCCGGGCGACCACACCCUCGGUUUGAGGGACAAGCCUGCCUUUUGCGCACUUGGACUUUUCCCCACCCUCUUCUAAGUCUUAGUGCCUCCGUACCAGGAUAAAGUCCUGUCGCAGUUUUGAACCAGAAAUGAAAACCACCUGAGACAAAAACGUCAAGACUUUGACGCUGCAGAGGAGUCAGGAAACAAAGGAAAUCGGGAAACAAUCCCUUUUCUAUUCUCAGCAGACAGUGCUCCCCGGCCCGAAUUCCGGAUAAAGAUUUGCCUGAGAUUCCCAAGCAUCUCAAUGCCGGUACCCACAGUUCUAUUCACAUUUGUCCAACGAAUGUGAAGAAAACAGCAACCAAAUGACAGCCACAGAAUUGCAUCAAAAUGAAUGGCCGCUCCGUGUGAGAUCAGGGCUCUUGUUCUCCUGCCUCCGCGGCACCCCGUGCCGAGGACACGACACACAGCUGGAGAAAUGUACGUGAGCCCCAGAAAUCAGGUCCGGUUUGCAUGCGCUCUCAUGACAGUACCACGGCCUAGAUGUUAAUAAAGAGAAAACAUCAACAAUUUUCUCUUGGAAACUUUGUAAUCUAACAGUCCAUGGAUUUAUCCCUCACGUAACUCCUAACACAUAACUUAGGAGAUACUAGUUUUAAUUAAGUAUAUUCACCCGCAUGCCAGAAUUUGAUCACUUCCUUAACAUAAGAGCUGAAGAAACAGAGCAGACGAAACCGGAGGAAGAGUGCACGUGUUCUACCACAGACACCCACUCCCAGGGACCGUGACAACAGCCGAGGGUGGCAGGGUUCCGCCCUGCCCAGAACGAGGGCUCGGGUUUGGUGCCGUCCCACGAGCCAGCACUGCGGAUCUCAGGGUAAAGAAGUGAGCUCCCGAGACUGUUUUCUAGCAGACAGGUCCCCUCGGUGCGUGGCACUUGGGGUGAAUUUUCAAGCUUGGACCCGUGAGAGAGGGCGGAAACAAAGCAGCAUUGGCUCGUCUCAGAGCCAGAUCGAUGUGGAAGAUUUUCCAGUUUGUCACUCCAACGGCUAGAAUGUGCCAGGAAGAUGGAAGCGUGUGGGCAGGGAUGGGAAUCUGGUUCUUUUUAGAGGACGACGUGGGCCCCGUGAGACCUAAGACCCAGGUCGUCUGAAGACCUAAGAGGGGCCAAUACAAGAACGUUGUGUGGCCCUUUCACUCUCUUAGUAGGAAUACACCUGCAAAUGGUUCUUUCCUUUUUUCUCUAUUCCUCCUCAGGGCACCUUCCUAAACCUCGGCCAUCCCAUAAAUCAAAAGACUCUCCUGAUUCCUCUAUGUGUUUUUGUUUUUUUCUCUAACUAGGGACACGCCUAACUCCACCACUUUCCAUGUCUGCCUUUCACUUUAAAAACUGUAGUAUGGAUUUAAAAUAGCAUUU
rnacentral:lncRNA from 1 species